GUGCCAGCAGCCGCGGUAAUACGAAGGGGGCUAGCGUUGCUCGGAAUCACUGGGCGUAAAGGGUGCGUAGGCGGGUCUUUAAGUCAGGGGUGAAAUCCUGGAGCUCAACUCCAGAACUGCCUUUGAUACUGAAGAUCUUGAGUUCGGGAGAGGUGAGUGGAACUGCGAGUGUAGAGGUGAAAUUCGUAGAUAUUCGCAAGAACACCAGUGGCGAAGGCGGCUCACUGGCCCGAUACUGACGCUGAGGCACGAAAGCGUGGGGAGCAAACAGGAUUAGA
rnacentral:rRNA from 1 species